GUGAGUGUAUAAAAGCUAAGGGGGCUGCCUGGGUGGUAGGAAUGGUCGAGGCAGCCUGCUCCUCAGUUUCCGUCAGCAGAGACACCAGGGCGGCUAGGACGCACCUCUCUCUGAGCUGAAAGCCUCUGACAUUAAGAGAAGCAGGAGGUGGACUUCCCCAACAGUUCAGUGUCAAGACAGCGCUGCCAACGCAGGAGGCAUGGGUUUCAUCCCUGGUUGAGGAAGAUCCUGAAUGCUGUGUGGCAGUCUCCCCCAUCAAAGAAAAAGAGAGAAAGAGGCAGGAGACAGGCAGGAGACCCUGAAGGGGACGUUUCAGAUUUCAAGAGCAAAGCAGAGGAUGUAUUCAUUCAACAAGCAUCUCCUGCACUCGGGAGCAGCAGGUGGCACAGAGAGCCCAGCCCUCCCCUUCCUGAGCGGCCACAUCACUGACCCUGUAGCAAAGCUCCUUCUCUGGCCUCGCAGCUCCUGCUCCUUCAAGGAGCAGAGCAAUGGGAAUCCCGUUCUGAGGAGGCUCCACCAGCCCCUCUGGUCCAUGUCCACCCAAGGCUCCCUGCUUUUGCUGGCCAGGCUCCCCCUAGGAGAGCUGCCUUUCCAAGGGUACGCCAAGGGCAGCCAACCCUAGAGACCAGCUGCUGGCCUCGCCGCUAGAGGAUGGAGCUGGGGGCGGCCUACCCCAGAGGACUUAGGGGGCAUAACUGGAGCAAUGCCCACAGCUAGAACGGGCGUGGCGGGCAGAGCCGAGGGCUUCCAGAAGGAAGGGGUGAGUCAGAUCCUCAGCUCCCAGACACUGGGGAGGACAAUGUUUCUCAUCCAGCUCAUGCUCAUGAAAGACAGCACUCUGCUCUUCUCAGGAAGAUGGAUUAAUCCAAUCCUUCUCAAUGCCGGUUCCCUCAAACGCACACACACCCUCUGCCCUGGGGUGGGCGGGCAGGUGUAGGUUUGAUAGAGGGUUUAGAAGAGAGGCUCACGGCAUUCCAUUGCCCCUGCCAGAACUGAGUGAACAGGAAGAGGAGUAGAU
ensembl:lncRNA